CGAGUCGACCGGGCGGUCGCGUUGGUGUUCUCCCGAGAACGCCGCCGAGGAACGUCCGGACUCCACAGAGCAGGGUGGUUGUUAACGGCAACCCGGGGUGACCCGCGGGAAAGUGCCACAGAGAAGAGACCGCCGGCCUCGUGCCGGUAAGGGUGAAACGGUGGGGUAAGAGCCCACCAGCACCCCGGGCGACCGGGGUGGCUUGGUAAACCCCACCCGGAGCAAGGCCAAGAAAGGCCACCGCCGCGAGGCGGUGGCUGGCGCAGGCACUCGAGGGCUGCUCGCCCAAGUCUGCGGGUAGGCCGCAAGAGCAUGCCGGCAACGGCACGCCUAGAUGGAUGACCGCCGCCGGCGGCCGAAAGGCCGUCGCGCACAGAAUCCGGCGUACAGGUCGACUCGUCCG
rnacentral:RNase_P_RNA from 1 species